UACAGAGGUCUCAAGCGUUGUUCGGAUUCAUUGGGCGUAAAGGGUGCGUAGGUGGCAUGGUAAGUCGGAUGUGAAAUCCCGGGGCUCGAACCCCGGAACCUGGCAUUCGAUACUGCUGCGCUAGAGUACUGGAGAGGAGAUUGGAAUUUACGGUGUAGCAGUGAAAUGCGUAGAUAUCGUAAGGAAGACCAGUGGCGAAGGCGGAUCUCUGGACAGUUACUGACACUGAGGCACGAAGGCCAGGGGAGCAAACGGG
rnacentral:rRNA from 1 species